UACGUAGGGGGCGAGCGUUGUCCGAAUUUACUGGGCGUAAAGCGCGCGUAGGCGGACCUUUAAGUGGAGGGUGAAAUGCCGGGGCUCAACCCCGGAACUGCCUUCCAAACUGGGGGUCUUGAGGUAUGGAGAGGGAUGUGGAAUUCCUGGUGUAGCGGUGAAAUGCGUAGAUAUCAGGAGGAACACCCGUGGCGAAGGCGGCAUCCUGGCCAUAAUCUGACGCUGAGGUGCGAAAGCUAGGGGAGCGAACGGG
rnacentral:rRNA from 1 species